AGCUUGGCAUGGAUGGAUGCUCUUUGGGCAGUGGGAUGCACCCUCAGAAGGAUGGGAAGGAGCUAUGCAACAAAGGGCUUCAUGCUUCUCUUGCCAUUCAUCUUUUCAUGCUGGAUGCAGAGAAUAUGAGUUAUCUACAGCAUCCCUGCCAUAACAUAUGGCACUUCCCAACACCUACAUGGCAAAUCCAUCAGGAGCUGUAGCAGCUGCAGCCUGACUCCAGCAGUGUGAAUGCUCUACCUGGUGGGAAACAGCCAUAAAAAAGAACUUUUCCCAUUCAGAAGUACAAAAAGGCUAUAGAAACAGAGGCACCUCCCUCAGCUGUUUGCCUGUCUCCAGGAAAAGCCAAAAGAUUGGAGAACCACAGAAACCAUCAACUGAAUAAGAUAAACCAAAAGGGGAACCACUGAAUUUGCAAAACUUGGGUAGGACAGUGAAAUAUGAAUACAAAUGAGGGAAUGGGGUAAGAGCAGCAGGGGAAAAGGAAGAGUUUAAACUUAUCCCAGUAUAUUAUCAGCAUUCCCUGGGGCAUUCUAUUCAAAAAGGUGGAAUUUAAUCUGCAUUGCCUUUGAAUAAGCAGUAUAAUCUCUAAGAACUUCUGCCUCACAUAUGCCUUUUGUCCUGAUAGCUGACAGAACUACUUCGCUGAUAGUGUUCUGCUAAAAUACCUUCAGGGUAAAUGUGCUUUUAUAAACAACCCAUUCCCAAGUUACUGAAACUGUAAUGCUUUUAUAGGACAGAACCUUGGCAUGUGUAACAUAAAAGUCACUUUGGGGAACUGGAGCUGGUUGAUGGCAGCUGAGUCUGGCUUAAUGCUCUUACCAGGACAUCCUAUCUCCUGCCUUCUCUUGUGCACAUUUUUUUUUCUAAAAGAAACAGUGUCUUACAGUUCCCAAAGUGCCACAGGAGCGUGAUUAGGCUCAGUCUCCUCAUUUCCUCAUCCCUGUGGUGCAAGGACUUGUUAGAGUGGUCGUGGAGCUGUCAGGUUAAUGCAACACCCCUGAAGUACCCGCGAGAGAUUGCAAGCCUCACACUCUGCUCCCCAUCUCACCAGAGGAAAGGCUGUCUGCACAAAUGGAUUUUUAACAUUUAUGCCUCCCCCUUGUGUCUCUACCACAUGAAAUCGACAGACUAUGUUUAUUUCUCAAAAGAUCCCUGCAAAUGCAAACUUUACACAUGAUGCUGUCUCAGAUUGCUGGUAAACAUGUAAAUCCAGGAGACCAUUGAGAACAAAACUUUGAGUUGCUGAGUCUAAAAUCUCCUGUGGAAAUCAGCCAGAAUUACAACUGUGACAGAAGUCAUCUAAUAUUUAAUAGAGGAUAGGGAGCAUAAUACCCCAUGACUUCAUCAAGCACAAGCUAAGAAGAGACAAAUUGAAUAUUACUAAUCCUGUUCCACUGCAGAAGAAUGAUGUUUCCACUUACUCCAUGAGAAGUGGGUUUGAUUUGGGAAGUUUGUUUUGGUGUUGUUGAGCUUUUUCUUUAAAAGUGAUAAAAAUACUUAUAUUGAGUAGAACCUGGAGAAAAUAGCUCCAAAGAAGGGAGAAUUCCUGGCCUGAUCCCAACCUCCCUGACAAGAAGGUCAGGGAUGUCCCUUUUUAUGAAGAGUUUAUCAGCACAGCAUAAGUUACCCAAAGACAAGCAGAAGAAAAAAUCAGAAGUCAAACAUACCUGACUU